rnacentral:rRNA from 1 species
GUCAUAAUUAUUCUUGAGUCUCUUCCUGAAGAGUUUGAACAAUUUAAGGUCAACUAUAACUCUCUAAAGGAAAAAUGGCAACUCUCUGAGAUGACCGCAAGGAUCGUCCAGGAGGAAGAGAGGAUCAUGAGGCAGAAGAAAGACCAUGUCUUUCAUGUUGGCUCUAACAAGAGAAAGCAUGACGGGCAAGGUUUCCCUAAGCCUCAGAAAAGGCAAGUCAAGAAAGAAGGCACUAAGCCAUUCAACCCUAAGGCAUUCAAGGGUAAAGAAGCCGGUGGUUCUUCUUCUGCUCCUAGCAGCUCCACUGCUGGAAAAAAUGCUUGUAACUUCUGUAAAGAGGAGGGACACUAUCAAAGGGACUGCCCAGGCUUUCUAAAAUGGAUGAACAAAAAAGGUAUUGAUGAAAUUACUUUUGUAGAU